AGUUGGUAUCCUGGCCUCACCGUAUNAACGCUGGCGGUAUGCCUAACACAUGCAAGUCGUACGAGAGUUUUUAACUCAAGUGGCGGACGGGUGAGUAACACGUGAGAAUUUGCCUUCAGGAGGGGGACAACAACUGGAAACGGUUGCUAAUACCCCAUAUGCUUUCGAGUGAAAUGAAUUUAUUCGCCUGAAGAGAAGCUCGCGGCUGAUUAGCUUGUUGGUAGAGUAAUAGCCUACCAAGGCGACGAUCAGUAUCUGGUUUGAGAGGACGACCAGACACACUGGAACUGAGACACGGUCCAGACUCCUACGGGAGGCAGCAGUGGGGAAUUUUCCGCAAUGGGCGAAAGCCUGACGGAGCAAUACCGCGUGAGGGAAGACGGCCUAUGGGUUGUAAACCUCUUUUUUCAGGGAGGAAUCAAUGACGUGUACCUGAAGAAUAAGCAUCGGCUAACUCCGUGCCAGCAGCCGCGGUAAGACGGAGGAUGCAAGUGUUAUCCGGAAUCACUGGGCGUAAAGCGUCUGUAGGUGGUUGAACAAGUCAACUGUUAAAUCUUGAGGCUUAACUUCAAAAUCGCAGUCGAAACUGUUUGACUAGAGUAUAGUAGGGGUAAAGGGAAUUUCCAGUGGAGUGGUGAAAUGCGUAGAUAUUGGAAAGAACACCGAUGGCGAAGGCACUUUACUGGGCUAUUACUGACACUCAGAGACGAAAGCUAGGGUAGCAAAUGGGGAUUAGAUACCCCAGUAGUCCUAGCCGUAAACAAAUGGAUACUAGAUGUUGAACAGAUCGACCCUGUGCAGUAUCAAAGCUAACGCGUUAAGUAUCCCNCCUGGGGAAGUAUG
rnacentral:rRNA from 1 species